rnacentral:rRNA from 1 species
UUGUUCUUUAAAUGAGGACUCGUAUCAACGGCAUCACGAGGAUCCUACUGUCUCCCCCCUCUAAUCGGUGAAACUGAUCUCUCCGUGAAGAAGCGGAGAUGUACAUAUAAGACGAGAAGACCCCAUGGAGCUUUAAACCCAACAACACCCGCCCCCCUCCAAAUCCUAUUAUGUGCCCGGUGACUGUUUGUUCGGUUUUAGGUUGGGGUGACCGCGGAGUAUAAGAUAUCCUCCAUGAAAAAAGCUAACUGNCCUUAUUANAGAAAGACACUUCCNAAAAAUAAUAAAUUAAUUUUAAAUGAUCCGACAUUCGAUCAACGAACCAAGUUACCCUGGGGAUAACAGCGCAAUCCGUCCCGAGAGCCCCUAUCGACAGGNGGGUUUACNACCUCNAUGUUGGAUCAGGGUAUCCUANUGGUGCAGCAGCUACUAAAGGNUCGUUUGNUCAACGAUUAAAACCCU